rnacentral:rRNA from 1 species
AGUGAACGCUGGCGGUAGGCCUAACACAUGCAAGUCGAACGAGUGGCGGACGGGUGAGGAAUACAUCGGAAUCUACUCUGUCGUCGGGGCUAACGUAGGGAAACUUACGCUACUACCGCAUACGACUGAUUGAGCUGUUGUCGGAUUAGCUAGUUGGCGGGGUAAAGGCCAACCAAGGCGACGAUCCGUAGCUGGUCUGAGAGGGUGAUCAGCCACACUGGAACUGAGACACGGUCCAGACUCCUACGGGAGGCAGCAGUGGGGAAUAUUGGACAAUGGGCGCAAGCCUGAUCCAGCCAUACCGCGUGAGUGAAGAAGGCCUUCGGGUUGUAAAGCCCUGUUGUUAGGAAAGCGGUACCCAAAGAAUAAGCACCGGCUAACUUCGUGCCAGCAGCCGCGGUAAUUC